CUUAGUUCUGCAGGCACACAGGAACUGAUUUCUCAUCCGGGCAUUUUGAUGCUAAUUUUAGCCUCUGGAAGAAAAGUCUGAAAACGUGUUGAGAUUGUGGUCGCUGUUUGUGGCUAAAUUUUGGCUUUUUUACAAGUUCUAUUGCCUGUUUUUGACAAAAUAACAACAUGGGAAGGAAAAAGAAAAAGCCCAUGAAGCCUUGGUGCUGGUAUCCUUUGAAUAUUCUCAUAUUUAGUGCGUUUUUUUUAGUUUUGAAAUUUGUCUUCACCGGUUUCAAACGGCUUUAUAUUUUGAAAAUUUUAUUAUAUGUUCUAGUAUAAAUAUGGUAGAGGUUUUUAAAACUAAACGUGGAGUUAUGGGUAAGUAUAUUUGUUAUAGUACAUGGCAAAACUUUAAUACAUAAGUAGGGAAAUAUAUAAAUAUGGAAUUUUCUUUGUAUAAUUUUGUAUUAAAAAAUAUGUACAGAUUUGUGAAACGAAAAUGGCAGUGGUAUUAUAUUUAUUUAAAAGAAAAUCCAUGAAUGUUUUUAGGGUUCGGUUCUGGUCAGAAACUGAUGAAAAAAGCAUGGCUAGAACCGGAACUCUUUGUUCACUAGGAAAAGGUUCAUUUGUUGAUGAACAUUGACCAAAUGGUUUAGAAUUGAUAGAACAAAGUGGUCUAAAUAUUAAAAGCCAGUUUAGUUUAUUUUUAGCCUGAAAGAACGUAUGUUCCUUAAUAUAGACCACAGGUAUUGUAACAGGGAGUUUGAUGAUGAAAAAGUGCUUAUUCAGCACCAAAAAGCCAAGCAUUUCAAAUGUUUUAUUUGCCACAAAAAAUUGUACACAGGUCCUGGUUUAGCCAUUCAUUGCAUGCAAGUUCACAAAGAACAUGUUAGCGCCAUACCAAACUCAUUGCCGAACCGAGGUGACCCUGAAAUUGAGAUUUACGGCAUGGAGGGUAUUCCUGACAAGGAUGUGAAGGAAAGACGACAGAAACUUGCACAGAUGGCGCAAGGUGGCGAUGACGAUGAUGACGAAACUGG